CCUACGGGAGGCAGCAGUGAGGAAUAUUGGUCAAUGGGCUUACGCCUGAACCAGCCAAGUCGCGUGAGGGAAGACUGCCCUAUGGGUUGUAAACCUCUUUUGUCAGGGAGCAACGCCGGCUACGUGUAGCCGGACUGAGAGUACCUGAAGAAAAAGCAUCGGCUAACUCCGUGCCAGCAGCCGCGGUCAUACGGCGGAUGCUAGCGUUAGCAGGAUUUCUUGGGUUUAAAGGGAGCGUAGGCGGGUUGUUAAUGCAGUUGUGAAAGUCUGCGGCGCAACCGUAAAAUUGCAGUUGAUAAUGGCAUCCGUGAGUACAGUAGAGGUAGGAGGAAUUCGUGGUGUAGCGGUGAAAUGCUUAGAUAGCACGAAGAACACCGAUUGCGAAGGCAGCCUGCUGGACUGUAACUGACGCUGAUGCUCGAAAGUGGGGGUAUCAAACAGGAUUAGAUACCCGAGUAGUC
rnacentral:rRNA from 1 species